rnacentral:rRNA from 2 species
GGACUACCGGGGUUUCUAAUCCUGUUUGCUCCCCACGCUUUCGCGCCUCAGUGUCAGGAAUCAGCCAGAAGAACGCCUUCGCCGCCGGCCUUCCCCCAGAUAUCUGCGCAUUUCACCGCUACACCUGGAGUUCCUUCUUCCCCUCUGACCCUCAAGCCACGCAGUAUAAGGCGCCGUUCCCCGGGUAAGCCGAGGGCUUUCACACCUUACUUACGCAGCCACCUACGCGCCCUUUAAGCCCAGUGACACCGAACAACGUUCGCCCCUCACGUAUUACCGCGGCUGCUGGCAC